rnacentral:tRNA from 1 species
CCUGGUGGCUCAGACAGUAAAGCAUCUGCCUGCAAUGCAGGGGACCUGGGUUCAAGCCCUGGGUCAGGA